rnacentral:pre_miRNA from 1 species
CUGUUUGCCGAUGCAGCAUCAUCAAGAUUCACAGUCCUCCUUCGAGAGGGCUUUUGCUUCGAUUGAGCUUAAUUUGUGGUUCAUUCAAAUUAACGCUUAUGAGCUGAAGUUAGUCAGGCAAUCGAUCUUGCUUAUAUUGCCCCGAUCUCAAGUAUUGACCGAUUCAAGCCCUAGUGAAAGGAGGGAAAAAGAAAAAAAGAAAAGAAAAGAAAGAAACAGAGCAAAAGCCCCAUUUGAUAUGGGAAUCUUGAUGAUGCUGCAACGGCAAUGAU